AAUUUUUUGUCUACAAAGAAGAAACUAAGGAAGAAUAUCUUGCAGAAGGUUUGUUCAUUAGCAUUUCAUUCGUGAAAUACAGCAAAAUCAAAUGAACAACAUCCUUAUCUCCUACCUUUUCAUUUCUGAAAGUUUGCUGUGGAAUAAAACCUGUCAACAAAUAUUUUGUGAAGGAUGGCACGGGGAACAAGGUCUUCAGUAUUCUUGAGGACAGCGACUGUUGUGACAGGUCUUUCUGUGCUAGUGGACGUUCUUUCAUAAUGAAUGUUACAGACAACUCAAAUCAAGAGGUCAUCAGACUGGUGCACCCGUCUGCUUGCUGCUACGGCAGCCAUGAGCUGCUGUCUUUGAAUGAGGAAGUGACAGAAAGAUCAUUUGGCAAAAUCAUCAAACCUUUCUCAUGCUGUGGAUCAAAUGCAGAUUUUGUGUUGAGGUUUCCAAGCAACCUGGAUGUCAAAAUGAAAGCUACUCUACUGGGGGCCUGCAUACUUAUUGACUCCGUGAAUUAUCACACGUCACAUGGUGAACCGCUCUUGUGUACCUCCAUAUCAUUGGCAUUCGGCUAUUGGAAAAUGUCCUAGGUGGGGCUGUGCCACAUCCAACAAUUUCAGCAAACAUCCCAG
rnacentral:lncRNA from 1 species